rnacentral:rRNA from 1 species
UACGUAGGGGGCUAGCGUUGCUCGGAAUCACUGGGCGUAAAGCGCACGUAGGCGGCUUCUUAAGUCAGGGGUGAAAUCCUGGAGCUCAACUCCAGAACUGCCUUUGAUACUGAGGAGCUCGAGUCCGGGAGAGGUGAGUGGAACUCCGAGUGUAGAGGUGAAAUUCGUAGAUAUUCGGAAGAACACCAGUGGCGAAGGCGGCUCACUGGCCCGGUACUGACGCUGAGGUGCGAAAGCGUGGGGAGCAAACAGG